GCAAGAUGCGUAGCCGACCUGAGAGGGUGAUCGGCCACACUGGGACUGAGACACGGCCCAGACUCCUACGGGAGGCAGCAGUAGGGAAUCUUCCGCAAUGGACGAAAGUCUGACGGAGCAACGCCGCGUGAGUGAUGAAGGUUUUCGGAUCGUAAAGCUCUGUUGUUAGGGAAGAACAAGUACCGUUCGAAUAGGGCGGUACCUUGACGGUACCUAACCAGAAAGCCACGGCUAACUACGUGCCAGCAGCCGCGGUAAUACGUAGGUGGCAAGCGUUGUCCGGAAUUAUUGGGCGUAAAGGGCUCGCAGGCGGUUUCUUAAGUCUGAUGUGAAAGCCCCCGGCUCAACCGGGGAGGGUCAUUGGAAACUGGGGAACUUGAGUGCAGAAGAGGAGAGUGGAAUUCCACGUGUAGCGGUGAAAUGCGUAGAGAUGUGGAGGAACACCAGUGGCGAAGGCGACUCUCUGGUCUGUAACUGACGCUGAGGAGCGAAAGCGUGGGGAGCGAACAGGAUUAGAUACCCUGGUAGUCCACGCCGUAAACGAUGAGUGCUAAGUGUUAGGGGGUUUCCGCCCCUUAGUGCUGCAGCUAACG
rnacentral:rRNA from 1 species